rnacentral:rRNA from 1 species
AUUGAACGCUGGCGGCAGGCCUAACACAUGCAAGUCGAGCGGCAGCGACUUAACUGAACCUUCGGGGAACGUUAAGGGCGGCGAGCGGCGGACGGGUGAGUAAUGCCUGGGAAUAUGCCCUGAUGUGGGGGAUAACUAUUGGAAACGAUAGCUAAUACCGCAUGAUCUCUUCGGAGCAAAGAGGGGGACCUUCGGGCCUCUCGCGUCAGGAUUAGCCCAGGUGGGAUUAGCUUGUUGGUGAGGUAAUGGCUCACCAAGGCAACGAUCCCUAGCUGGUCUGAGAGGAUGAUCAGCCACACUGGAACUGAGACACGGUCCAGACUCCUACGGGAGGCAGCAGUGGGGAAUAUUGCACAAUGGGGGAAACCCUGAUGCAGCCAUGCCGCGUGUGUGAAGAAGGCCUUCGGGUUGUAAAGCACUUUCAGUAGGGAGGAAGGUAGUGUAGUUAACACCUGCAUUAUUUGACGUUACCUACAGAAGAAGCACCGGCUAACUCCGUGCCAGCAGCCGCGGUAAUACGGAGGGUGCGAGCGUUAAUCGGAAUUACUGGGCGUAAAGCGCAUGCAGGCGGCCUGUUAAGUCAGAUGUGAAAGCCCGGGGCUUAACCUCGGAAUUGCAUUUGAAACUGGCAGGCUAGAGUCUUGUAGAGGGGGGUAGAAUUUCAGGUGUAGCGGUGAAAUGCGUAGAGAUCUGAAGGAAUACCAGUGGCGAAGGCGGCCCCCUGGACAAAGACUGACGCUCAGAUGCGAAAGCGUGGGGAGCAAACAGG